rnacentral:ribozyme from 1 species
CCCUUUCAAUGUACUGAGCCUCUACGCGGCGAAAGGGAUCAACAGACGAGAGUCUGGCUAAUCAGUA